UGAGGAAUAUUGGUCAAUGGGCGAUAGCCUGAACCAGCCAAGUAGCGUGCGGGAUGAAGGCCCUCCGGGUCGUAAACCGCUUUUAGACGGGGAUAAAAGGGCGUACGUGUACGCCGUAUUGCAUGUACCGUCAGAAAAAGGACCGGCUAAUUCCGUGCCAGCAGCCGCGGUAAUACGGAAGGUCCGGGCGUUAUCCGGAUUUAUUGGGUUUAAAGGGAGCGUAGGCGGACUUUCAAGUCAGUGGUAAAAUCGUGUGGCUCAACCAUACCUCGCCAUUGAAACUGGAAGUCUGGAGUGCACACAGGGGUGCCGGAAUUCAUGGUGUAGCGGUGAAAUGCUUAGAUAUCAUGAAGAACUCCGAUCGCGAAGGCAAGUGCCCGGGGUGCAACUGACGCUGAGGCUCGAAGGUGCGGGUAUCGAACAGGAUUAGAUACC
rnacentral:rRNA from 1 species